ensembl:lncRNA
CUUUUGGGCAAAAAUCUCACUGAAUCCUUCUGCUGGCCUGAGUCUGGAGAGCAUGAGGUGGGGAGAGGUUUGUGUGGGCUGAUAAAGGCCUGGAAACAAUAGGGUUUGUAAAGCACGGAGCUGGGAAAGUGCUUAAUAGCCCCUGGGGCAGAGCAGUCCUGCUGGUGCCUACUCUGUCCCUUUGGCCACGGCCUCUCCGCAGGGUGAUGAGAGCCCGGCGCGUGGGCACCACCUCUCCAUCCGUGCUUGCCCUGCCCACCCAGGGACGCGGGUCUGGCCCCUUCGCCGGCGGGCUGGGCUGGCGCCGGACCAGAGCGUCGCUGUGCCACGACCCGAGCUGCUCCGGGCUCUUGUUUGUGCCUCCGAAUAAUAGCUUCGCCAGUGAAAAAACAUGAUCUUUGGUUUUGCUGCCUUGAGGCUGAACUAUUGCCCUCCCCAGGGACGGGUCCCUGCAGGCUGGCGGGGGCUUUAUAGCUUGCACUGAUUUACGCUGGAGGUGGCGCAGGGCAGAGCUGUCGCAGCCAGCGCUGAAGUCACCCAACAACAGGACCGUCCCGGCGUGACCUUGCCCAGGUGCAACGGGGUAAAGUCAGAGCGAGGCACAGCAACGUCAUUCAGGAGCAGUGAACCCCCCCGCCAGCGCCAAUACCCGCACAGGCCCAGUUCAAACCAGCAAGGGUUGGGGAAUCUUCCCGGGGGGACACGGCGAGGUCCUGGGGCAGCAGCACCCCCCGUUUCCGUGCGUGCCGCUGCACCCCGUUCCCGCGAGGUCCCGGUGGCUCCGCAGCUCACCCGGGCUCAGGGAGACCCGUGGGAAGAAACCCCCCGUCCAGGCGGAGAGAAAGGAAACGGCUCCAACCCGCUGGGCCUGUGCAACCCCCGCGGCUCUGGGAAACACCCCUGGCGAGCCCGUGGCAUUGUACUUGAGGGAAUUACAGCCGAUCGCCGCUGCUGAUAACGGCCUCAUACACCUCUCACCUGCAGUCUCAUUUACCUGCCUUUUACCCCCCUCUAAUAUUUUCUGAGCUCGAUGCUUGUUUUUGGCCAAGUUGUACGCAGGGGUAGAAGUCAAAAGGACGUUUCUAUACGCUUCAGGAGAACUGCUGAAGGAGCGGAGACACGUUCCUGCCGAGAAAACUGCUAGAGCAGGAGCCCAGCCCUCUACUAGACAUCAGAGAAUUCACAGAGCAGGUGACCAGCACGGCAAAACUUCAGGGGAAAGCUGGCUUCCUUGGCUUUGCUGCUCGUGCAGUCGCUCGGUUUGUUUUGUUCUGGCUUUGAGAUACUGAUGGAGGCAAAAAUAAUUUGCUUUAUACGCAUCGAAUUAAAAGGAUGAUGCGAAACCCACAGGGUGCUUCAGGCAGAGAGCGUGAGCAUCGGGCGCCGGCCGAGCCCCUUCGGAGAACGGGGGGCUCCUGCGGUUAGCCGGCUCGUAUGACUCAAUGUAUAACCACCAGUUACACACUAGAUUUAAUCUUGGGUCAAAAGUCAUGGAUACUUCCAACCCCGCGGAGAAGGUCGAUUGCGCACUCGCUGUUUCUCGUGCUGCUCUCCGCCG